rnacentral:rRNA from 1 species
UAGGGAAUCUUCCACAAUGGACGAAAGUCUGAUGGAGCAACGCCGCGUGAGUGAAGAAGGGUUUCGGCUCGUAAAACUCUGUUGUUAAAGGAGAACAUAUCUGAGAGUAACUGUUCAGGUAUUGACGGUAUUUAACCAGAAAGCCACGGCCAACUACGUGCCAG